rnacentral:rRNA from 1 species
GUUAAGUCGACCGCCUGGGGAGUACGGCCGCAAGGUUAAAACUCAAAUGAAUUGACGGGGGCCCGCACAAGCGGUGGAGCAUGUGGUUUAAUUCGAUGCAACGCGAAGAACCUUACCUGGUCUUGACAUCCACAGAACUUUCCAGAGAUGGAUUGGUGCCUUCGGGAACUGUGAGACAGGUGCUGCAUGGCUGUCGUCAGCUCGUGUUGUGAAAUGUUGGGUUAAGUCCCGCAACGAGCGCAACCCUUAUCCUUUGUUGCCAGCGGUCCGGCCGGGAACUCAAAGGAGACUGCCAGUGAUAAACUGGAGGAAGGUGGGGAUGACGUCAAGUCAUCAUGGCCCUUACGACCAGGGCUACACACGUGCUACAAUGGCGCAUACAAAGAGAAGCGACCUCGCGAGAGCAAGCGGACCUCAUAAAGUGCGUCGUAGUCCGGAUUGGAGUCUGCAACUCGACUCCAUGAAGUCGGAAUCGCUAGUAAUCGUGGAUCAGAAUGCCACGGUGAAUACGUUCCCGGGCCUUGUACACACCGCCCGUCACACCAUGGGAGUGGGUUGCAAAAGAAGUAGGUAGCUUAACCUUCGGGAGGGCGCUUACCACUUUGUGAUUCAUGACUGGGGUGAAGUCGUAACAAGGUAACCGUAGGGGAACCUGCGGUUG